rnacentral:tRNA from 2 species
CAAAAGCAAGGGCUAUAGCUCAGUUGGUAGAGCACCUCUGUUUUACCGAGCAGGUCUACGGUUCGAGUCCGUA